GAGGGGUUGGAAAGAUUGUAAAAGCCAGAGGCAGUGGAUGACUACAGCAAAAUUAGUUUCUGAGUACAGCAAGACAACUACAUUUAUAAACUAGCUCAUAUGCAACAGAGUAUAUAAGACAUGAGCAAGCUUAAACUGGACAAAAUAAACCUGCGAAGAGGGGAGAAGUAAGCACAAAACUCCACCUCUAAAAGAGGACUCUGCUGCAAUUCAAAGUUUGCAGGAGAAAGAGAAUCAGGUUUCUCUAGGGGUGUGGCCUCUGGUGGGUUAACCACAGGCUCUAGGGCAUAGCCUGACUCUUGCAGCAUUUAGGCAACACAAAUUGAACCACAUU
rnacentral:lncRNA from 1 species